rnacentral:rRNA from 1 species
GAUGAACGCUGGCGGCGUGCCUAACACAUGCAAGUCGAACGAACGGUCCAGAUCCUUUCUCCCCUGAUUUUGUCGGCGGUCGGGUGCGUCAUACGUGUUUAACCUACCUAUAAGACUGGUGUGCCUUCGCGAAACCGGAUCUACUACCCGAUAAUAUUUUGCACUGCAUGGUUCCAACGUGAAAGACGGUCUUGCUGUCACUUAUAGAUGGAUCCGCGCUGCAUUAGCUAGUUGGUAAGGUAACUGCUUACCAAGGCAAGGAUGCAUAGCCGACCCGAGAGGGAGAUCGGACAGACUGGCACUGAGACACGGCCGAGACUCCUACGGGAGGAAGCAGUCGGGAAUCUUCCGCGAUGGGGGAAAGCCUGACGGAGCAACGCCGCGUGAGGGAUGAAGGUCUUCGGAUCGUAAAACGCUGUUAGUAGGGAAGAACAUAUGUGUAAGUACCCGUGCAGAUCAUGACGGUACCGAAACAGUAAGCCCCGGCUAACUACGUG